ACCACAAAUAUAUCCUUAGAUUCCAAAAUUGAAAUCUAAUGUAGUUUACCCAUGAUGAACCCAUGAUGAAAAUAACUUAAAUCCAAAAAGAUGAGACAAAAAUUCACAUAAUAACUCCAAAUUCAAUUUUUUGCACUUUAAAAAGUGCAGAUCUUUUAGAUACAAAAAUGGGCAAAAUCAACUCCAAAUCAUCAUCAAACAUUAAACCACCGCCAAACAAUCCACUACUUUGUUCUCCCUCACAUCUGCACCAUUGUUCCGCCACUCACCCCAUCGAAAAUCGUCCAUCAACACCACAGCUCCUCCACCUUUCUCAUUCUAACUUAUAUCCUCUUUCCUCCUUCAUUUACGGCUAGGCCCACGGCUGGUAUAACCUACAUAACCAAAAAAACCACCGAAAUCAAAAACAAGAUCUCCAGCGCUGUUAUGAGCUCCAUCACCACUAUCGGAACUACAAUAACAACCACCACCACAAACAAGCUCCAACUCUGCUGAGGAAGGAGAGAGUUUUUUUGGCCAAAUCUAAAUGUUUGCAAAGUUAUUACUUGAAAAAUAAAAUAAAAAUUCACGUGAAAAAGAAAGGAAAAUAGGGGCCAUCCAUUGCCGAUUUUCAUGGAGCUCGUUAGAGCUCGUGAUUUUUCGAUUUAGUUGAUGCAUUGUUUGUUGUUGGUGGGUCGAUUUGGUGGUGUCAUGGAGGUUAUAAAGGAAAAUAGGAAUUGGGUUGUUUGUUAUUUUGUUUGCCGAAGAAGCCAUCUCCGAUGAGGUUGGAUGGAGACGAGGAGAUGAGGAAAGUAAGAGUGA
rnacentral:lncRNA from 1 species